AACAACGGAUCUCUUGGCUCUGGCAUCGAUGAAGAACGCAGCGAAAUGCGUAUAAGUAAUGUGAAUUGCAGAAUUCAGUGAAUCAUCGAAUCUUUGAACGCACAUUGCGCCCGCCAGUAUUCUGGCGGGCAUGCC
rnacentral:rRNA from 1 species